GAAAAUGAACAGAUGUUGCAAGGCACUUCUUAUGACUUAUUAUUCAUAUUGCGGCAAUUCCAAGAGACCAUAUUCCAAUGGGGCUGGAUGGAGAACAUCCAGUCACUAAAUACUUCCCUAGAGUGCAAAGGAAGAGCAGCAAGUGGCAACCUCUUCCCACAUGCGCUGCAGUUUUCCUGGCCAGAGUAGAGGGCUGCACUUUGCUUAUUCCUACAGAAUUAUGUAGACUUUGACUCCUGAUCCUGUGGCUCUGGAAAUCCACUGAAUGUUAAAGUAAGAAGAGGUUAUGUUAGGAAUAGCACCAGAAGAAAAGAAAAUAAAUGAACUUGAUCCUUUCACAA